GAAUUGAAAGCUAAAAUUUAAGCGUUGGUCUUGUAAAUCAAAGAUAGAGGUAUCUCUCAAUUCU
rnacentral:tRNA from 2 species